GAGUCGUCAAAUACCGGGAGUGGAAACGAGAUGCGCGAGCGUGAUCCAUGCUCGCCUCGCGCUGGAGCACGCCGAUUUUUUUCAAAUAAUCUUUUUUGUGCCACAUUCACCAAUUCCGCGGGAUUUUCAAAAUGUCAAAAUUUAUUUUGGUUCUUCCUGCAAGCGGAGCAGUUCAGACGUCUCCAUACAUAAACCUUCUCGUCAGAUUUCCGCUUCCCUUUUGUAGUAUUAUCAAUCUUCGUCGGCAGUGCAUGGGCAUGCUGGACAGGGAGAUAUCGGUAGCCAUUUUACGGCUGAUGUUUUAGGAACUUGGGCGAGAGACCUGGAGACCACAUCAGCUGUGUUUUCAAGUUUAAUUUGCGGUACAGUAGUGGCAAGAAAGCCGUCCAUCAUGCCAGCAUCAUCCGCAGCAGCAACAGCAGCAGCACCCCAGCCCACCGCCAUAGUCAACUGCACUGCAGAGACACCUAAAAGAUACCAUGGUGGUUGGUGUGUUGUUGCGGUGAGAAGAGAACUGGAAGCUAGCAGAAAGCCUGAGUUAACUAGCCUCAAGCCGGUGUUGGCGACUUUCGGCCAUGAAAUUCUGGCCAACAUGUCUCCGAAUCUACCAAACUUUGAAAAGAUAAUUGAAUCUGAGA